rnacentral:lncRNA from 1 species
AAGGGAUAUAUUUUAUUUACUAGUAGCUAAUUUAGUUAUAUGUAAAAUUAGUUUCAACUUAAAACAGGUUUAGUGUGUAUCCUACUUAUGAUGGUAGUGACUAUGUAUGUUGACUGUGUGUACAAUCUAGCUGUUAGUAGUUGCAGCUAGAUAUUAUUGCUAGUUAGGUGGGAGUUGAACUACUAAUUUUACCUGGCUGUGUUGGUCUGUGAACAGCCUAUUUAUAUGCAUGUAUUAGCUCCUUAUGGAGGGAGACUUUGAUUAUAUAUAUAACUUCUUCUCUGAAUAUUGAUAAUGUAUCAAUUUGGGGAUAGCUUGGGGUAGAGAUUGUCCUGCGGUUCAAUCUCCCGAGGUUUAUAAUCACUGUUCUUGUUGCGCUUAUCAUUAUCUUGUUAUUAUAAUCUUAUUCUUGUCAUUGUGCUGCGUCAAAUUGGCGUCAGAGCUAAAAUUCUGGUUGUUAUCAUUGUUAAAGUUCAUCCUACUGUUACUGUUCAUCAGCUGCUGUAUUCACCCUGAUUUCUGUCCAAACCUGACCAAUUCUACAUAUAAUCCAGAAACCUAAUUUCAGUCCUUGAAUACCAUUCCUCUUUACCAAACAAUCAGGAAUAUAACACCAUCAUAUCACUACCAUGGCACCACCAGAUUCAACCACUUCCAUUUGCUGCCCAGUAACCUACAAAGCUGCACCACUCUUUUUUUUUUUUUAAACCUUUAAACACUCGGUUUCAGUUCUCACAACGCAAUCCAUACACUUACUAAUUGAAACAAGCAUCACACCCACAAUUACUCACCAAAGCAGAAAAGAUAACAGGUCUGGGAAAAGAGAUCAAGAAAGAUCAUAGAGAGAAGCAACAGGGAGGAAAAUUGACAAGAAAGAAAAAAGGAGAAAAAGAAACUUAUUGAAAGCGGCUGCUUUUCUAAACUGCUGCUGCGUUUAAAACAAAUAUGUGCAGCCUUUGUAACCUCUGAUCUACUGACUGUUCAGACCCUUAAACUUCUGAAUUUGAGAAAAUCAGCCCCAAUUCUGUCUAUUAAAUCAUGUCCAAGCGUAUAAAGUCUGGAAUUGAGAUAGUAAAGGAUAAUAUACACUGUCUUCAGGAUGAAUGUGAUUCCUUACACUAUGAGAUUUAUGCCUGUUAUCAUCGAAACAAGCUAUUUGAAUAUGAGCUUACAUUGAAGGAGUUAGAUAAAUCAUAUUAUGAACUUGAAAACUUGAAACAAAAGUACAAAGUUCAAUUGAGAAAAGAAGAAGAGGAAAAGAGUGAGAAGAGACAACAGAGGUUUUAUGAAAUGUUUAUACCUCAACUUCUUAGCGGGAAUCACAAAUCCAAUUUGGAGAAGGAAGAAAUAGUCAAAGGAGAUGAAAUUGCACUGGAAAUCAAUCAUGUUGAAGAUAAAAAUACAGAAAAUCAGUUGCGCGAGGAUAAUGUGCUUGUUUCAGAUUCUUUGGAUUGCAAAGAGCACAAAACAGACAUUUUUGUGGAAUCUUUUGCAGAAAGUGUUCCAGUUGUUCAAGAGGAAAAAAUGGCCGAUGAUGAUAUUAUUGAGGUUGAACACAUCGAGUUCAUCAUUCCAGAAAUUUGUUUAAAUAUCCUUCACAGGCAGAUCAGUUUCCAACGUUAUUUGAGAACAGAGUUGAUACUUUUGAAGAAGUGCAUAAAGGUCUUUUUGGUUCCGUCGCAAUCUUACAUGACUCUUGCCUUCUACAAAACUCGUGGUCGAGUUUUUUCUAACAAGGGGAGAAUGAUGGGGAAUAAUAACAAAAGGGAUAUAUUUUAUUUACUAGUAGCUAAUUUAGUUAUAUGUAAAAUUAGUUUUAACUUAAAACAGGUUUAGUGUGUAUCCUACUUAUGAUGGUAGUGACUAUGUAUGUUGACUGUGUGUACAAUCUAGCUGUUAGUAGUUGCAGCUAGAUAUUAUUGCUAGUUAGGUGGGAGUUGAACUACUAAUUUUACCUGGCUGUGUUGGUCUGUGAACAGCCUAUUUAUAUGCAUGUAUUAGCUCCUUAUGGAGGGAGACUUUGAUUAUAUAUAUAACUUCUUCUCUGAAUAUUGAUAAUGUAUCAAUUUGGGGAUAGCUUGGGGUAGAGAUUGUCCUGCG